UGCCUGUUGCAUGCACCUCCUCCUCCACCCAUAGCCUCUUGCCUGGGAAAGAGUUAGCCUGGGGCUGAUACUUUGGUUAAGCUGAAGCUGCCGAGGGUGGUCGACCUGCAGAUUCUCUGCAAAUUCUGAGCUGGCAGAGCCCGCAGCCCGGAGCCGGCCGGGGAAGAGGAGACUUACACGCUGCAGGCCGCCUCCCUCCACCCUGCUCUCCAUCUCCCACUUCAGAAGGGCUGGGAAGCUCACGGCCGGGGUUCCACCUGGAAGCUGCUUGCAUGGCUGAACCCAGCUUAGGUUCCUAGCGGGGCUGCUGGUGGAAUUCUCCCCCUUGGAGGCUGGGGAGGUUUAGGAGGGGGAAGGCUUCUGUGAAGCUCUCAAACCACUAAUAGAGCCCCCUCCCCAACAGUGACAGCGCAGACGCUCCCUCUUUUUAGUUGACACCACCAGGCAGCCUCCUGGCUGUUGGUAGGUUCCUGCAGCUGGCUGGGGGAACAGGGACCGGCAGGGGACUUUGUUAGGGGAGGGUUGGGAUGGGCAGUGGGCCCUGAAAGUUAAUAUAUUCGAACCUAGCUCGAGUGUCGUUCUUUCCAAUUCCGAAAGUAGGAAGAGUAAAAAUAGGGGUGAUUGGGGUGAGGCUAGAAUGCCUCUCUCAGGGCGCCCCCCCUCCCCCACCGUUUUAGAGAGCUAGGCCCCAGCCAGUUUUGUCACUCCCAUCUCAAUGCUUCCCGAAGAGGCUGUUUUGAGUGUUGAAAAGAUGAAAAUGCAAUUAUGCCAAACAGUAUUGAGCAGAAUAAUUUAUUUCUUUUUUCUUUUUCUUUUGCUUUAAAUCAUGAAUCCCGCCAGGCAUGGUGGCUCACACCUGUCAUCCCAGCACUUUGGGAGGCCGAGGCGGGCGAAGUACUUAAUACUAAGGUCAGGAGUUCCAGAUCAGCCUGGCCAACAUGGUGAAACCCCGUCUCUACCAAAAAAAAAAAAUACAUAUAUUAGCCAGGCGCAGUGGUGCGCUCCUGUAAUCCCAGCUACUUGGAAGGCCGAGGCAGGAGAAUCCCUUGAACCCGGGAGGCAAAGGUUGCAGUGAGCCGAGAUUGUGCCACUGCACUCCAUCCAGCCUGGGCGACAGAGCAACACCCUGUCUCAAAAAAAAAUUAAUCAUGAAUCCCCAUCCUGGAAGAGGUAGGUCCCAGCAUCCAGCCAGAUCUUUUCUGCAAUAGUAAUUUAAACAAACUUGUUUAUUUCCUUCCCUUUCUCGUUCUGAAUUAAAAGGA